rnacentral:rRNA from 1 species
UACGUAGGGUGCAAGCGUUAAUCGGAAUAACUGGGCGUAAAGAGUGCGUAGGCGGAUAAAUAAGUUAGAUGUGAAAAACCUGGGCUUAACCUAGGUCUUGCAUUUAAGACUGUAUAUCUAGAGUUUGUAAGAGGGGGGUAGAAUUCCAGGUGUAGCAGUGAAAUGCGUAGAGAUCUGGAGGAAUACCGAUGGCGAAGGCAGCCCCCUGGUAUAGAACUGACGCUGAGGCACGAAAGCGUGGGUAGCAAACAGG